UACGAAGGGGGCUAGCGUUGUUCGGAAUUACUGGGCGUAAAGCGCACGUAGGCGGGUCGUUAAGUCAGGGGUGAAAUCCUGGAGCUCAACUCCAGAACUGCCUUUGAUACUGGUAAGCUCGAGUCCGGGAGAGGUGAGUGGAACUGCGAGUGUAGAGGUGAAAUUCGUAGAUAUUCGCAAGAACACCAGUGGCGAAGGCGGCUCACUGGCCCGGUACUGACGCUGAGGUGCGAAAGCGUGGGGAGCAAACAGG
rnacentral:rRNA from 1 species